CCAGCAGCAGCUGACUCCCUCCGGUCUUGCACUACUGAACUGCCACAACUUACUACACUGUUUCUAUACUACUACCAUACUAAUCAUAAACUGCUACACUCCUGCUACGACACUACUCUACACUGCUGUCACCCUGCUGGGCCUGCUAACAGCCUGGAGUUAUGGAGCAAAAGGUGAACCAGUGCCCCUCCAGCCCCUCCCUCCAGAAGCAGAUGAAGAACAGAUCUAAAUCCACAGAGGAAUUUCAGCAGACCAAGAAGGUCGUCUCCUCACAGAAGUCCCUGAAUCUGCCUGGAAGAACAGACUUAGAGAAGGUUAAGGAGAGUCCUGAAGGUCCUGACAUGCCUUCGUCCUCCACCGAAGAACUCAAGUGAUGCUGGCGCCCCCUGGUGGAUUAUCACAACUCA